GCCAGUAGUCAUAUGCUUGUCUACAAAGAACUAAGCCAUGCAUGUGUUAGUAUGAACUGAAUUUAUAUAGUGAAAACUGCGAAUGGCUCAUUACAUCAGUUAUAGUUUAUUUGAUAGAUAUGCGUUCAGCACUACAUGGAUACCUGUAGUAACAUAGAGCUAAUACAUGCAUAAGAAUCUGACUUUACGGAAGGAUUUGCACUUAUUAGAUACCAAACCAAUAUCCUCUCGGGGAUUUAUUAGGUGAAUCACAAUAACUGAACAAAUCGCAUAGUCUUGCACUGGCGAUGUAUCAAUCAAGUUUCUGCCCUAUCAACUUGAUGUUAGUGUAUUGUACUAACAUGGUUUUUACGGGUAACAGAGGAUUAGGGUUCGAUCCUGGAGAAGGAGCAUGAGAAAUGGCUACUAUUUCUAAGGAAAGCAGCAGGC
rnacentral:rRNA from 1 species